rnacentral:rRNA from 1 species
GAUGAACGCUGGCGGCGUGCCUAAUACAUGCAAGUCGAGCGAACAGACGAGGAGCUUGCUCCUCUGACGUUAGCGGCGGACGGGUGAGUAACACGUGGAUAACCUACCUAUAAGACUGGGAUAACUUCGGGAAACCGGAGCUAAUACCGGAUAAUAUAUUGAACCGCAUGGUUCAAUAGUGAAAGACGGUUUUGCUGUCACUUAUAGAUGGUUCCGCGCCGCAUUAGCUAGUUGGUAAGGUAACGGCUUACCAAGGCAACGAUGCGUAGCCGACCUGAGAGGGGGAUCGGCCACAUUGGAACUGAGACACGGUCCAGGCUCCUACGGGAGGCAGCAGUAGGGAAUCGGCCGCAACGGGCGAAAGCCUGACGGAGCAACGCCGCGUGAGUGAUGAAGGUCUUCGGAUCGUAAAACUCUGUUAUUAGGGAAGAACAAAUGUGUAAGGAACUAUGCACGUCUUGACGGUACCUAAUCAGAAAGCCACGGCUAACUACGUG